CGGCAGCACAGUGUGUAGCAAUUACACAUGGGUUGGCGAGUGGCGGACGGGUGAGUAAUACGUGGGAACCUGCCCAAUAGUGGGGGAUAGCCCGGGGAAACUCGGAUUAAUACCGCAUACGCCCUUCGGGGGAAAGCGGGGGAUCGUAAGACCUCGCGCUUCUGGAUGGGCCCACGUCCGAUUAGCUAGUUGGUAGGGUAACGGCCUACCAAGGCGAUGAUCAGUAGGGGGCGUGAGAGCGUGGUCCCCCACACGGGUACUGAGACACGGACCCGACUCCUACGGGAGGCAGCAGUAAGGAAUAUUGGACAAUGGCCGCAAGGCUGAUCCAGCCAUCCAGCGUGCAGGAAGAAGGCCCUAUGGGUUGUAAACUGCUUUUAUCAGGGAAGAAACCUUUCGAUUUAUCGGGAGCUGACGGUACCUGAAGAAUAAGCACCGGCUAACUACGUGCCAGCAGCCGCGGUAAUACGUAGGGUGCAGGCGUUAAUCGGAAUUACUGGGCGUAAAGCGUGCGCAGGCGGCUCCUUAAGUCAGAUGUGAAAUCCCCGGGCUUAACCUGGGAACUGCGUUUGAAACUGGGGAGCUGGAGUGUGGAGAGGAGGUGGAAUUCCAGGUGUAGCAGUGAAAUGCGUAGAGAUCUNAGGAACACCGAUGGCGAAGGCAGCCCC
rnacentral:rRNA from 1 species